GACAAACGCUGGCGGCGUACCUAAGACAUGCAAGUCGAACGGGUACGGACCCUUCGGGGUGGCGUGCUAGUGGCGGACGGGUGAGUAACGCGUAGGAACCUAUCGCACAGUGGGGGAUACCACGGGAAACCGGUGUUAAUACCGCAUGUGGUCAGCAAUGACGAAAGCAGCAAUGCGCUGUGUGCGGGGCCUGCGUCCGAUUAGCUCGUUGGUGGGGUAAGGGCCUACCAAGGCGACGAUCGGAGCUGGUCUGAGAGGAUGGUCAGCCACACUGGGACUGAGACACGGCCCAGACUCCUACGGGAGGC
rnacentral:rRNA from 1 species